ACCAACCUUGAAGCUUGAAAGAACCUGUGCAUUAUGCAGCGUUGCGAAGCGGCAUUGUCAAGUUUUAAAUAAGCCUAGUAGCAUGAUUUUUCAACACACUUUACACGAAAAAUUGUGCACAAUUUAAAUACGGUAUAAGUUCGGCAAAAACGAAAAUCACAGCAAGAUGAAUAAAUUAAAAUGUUUAUCAUUACGUCCACCAUCUAAAAUUUUUACCACAGUGCUCAACAAACAAUGAAACUGAAUUAGUUCCUCAUAUUGCAGUAUUAGUUGUGCCAUGUAAUCACGUCAACGAAUAGCUAGUGGUUUAUUUUUAUUGAUAUUCGUCAGAUGUUAUGCCUCGAAUGAGGGAUAUGGUGUCUACAGAUAGAACAGCCUUACAAAGGAUACGAAUGCAAGCAGCUGUUUAUUUCACAGCGGCAUAAAACACCUCUGGCUGGGAGCCUUCUCCAGCAAGACCCAGAGGGUGGACAACUACAGCUCGUAUUUACUGUGUGAUGAUACAUGAAGAUGAGACUGUAACAGUAAUACGAUCCAACUGUUCCGUUGUUGGAAAGAAGAUGGCCGGGAUAAAAAAACAACAGGACGCUCAAGAGAAAGAUGAAAGCAACAGUUCAGGUUACUACAAGUCCGUGCUAAAGUAGUUACAGGACUGAGAAAGGAGAUGGUCGUCCGUGUUCUGCCACACUGGAUCCAUGCGCGAGAACCACCGUCUCGAAACGGCUGUCUCCGAGAACCCGAGAUGCCAGCGAAGCUCACAGUAGUCCUCGCAAUGGUUCAGAUCAUUCCGAAGCCUUCGGUGCCUUCGCUGAUGGCCAGCAGCAGAGCCUUCUCGAACUGCUCGUAGCUCUCGUAGUCCGGCAGACACAGCUGGUUGAAGCUGGUGACAAAACAGUCAGAUACUGACAUCACAACCUCCUGUGUUAGCUUCCCUUCCUUGCCACUUUCAGUGAAACCAUUGACAGUCCUCAAGUUAACACAACAGACAACAAACAAAAACCAUCAACCAGAGUUUUAGAAUAUUACUUUACUUUUUAAUGCUGGAGCACAAAAUCAUUGUCAUGAAUUGCUUGCUAAAUUCAAAUGGUUCUAGGGACUAAAAAAAAGCAAAUGAUUACUGGAAAAUUAUGGGUGAUUAUUUUAAGUGUUUUUUCCUAAUGUAGUACAUAUUAUAUUGAAUAUUUAAGAACUGUAAACUACUAUAAAAGUGUGUAAGACUUCCUACCUGGCAUGCCAGAUGCCAGAUCCCAGUGGGCAGUUCCGUGUGCGAUGGCAGGUCACUAGCGUGCACAUGACAGGGUGUGUGCUGGGUAACUGUGCUAGUGGUACCCAUGCUUCAAUACUGAUCACACAGGAAGUGUUCGGUAGUAACAUACGCAGUAAAUGUCUAACCAAAAGGAGGUGUAGCUCACAAUGCAAAAUAUAUCAAAGUACAAAAUAAAAAAGUUUAAGUUAGUGAAUUUACUCAUGCAUGACAUAUAAACAAUAUAACCAUUGUAAAAUUUAUAUAAAUAUAAAUAUUGCUUGAAUAAAAUUAUUUAGAAAUAUGACAUCACAAUAUAACUUGAUUUUGUCACUGUUUGUGUCUCCUGAACUUGCAAAUAUAUACAGCAGUUAAAAUUACCUAACGAUUGAUUCCAAAUAAGCAAUUUAAUUUGGAAUUCAGUAAUCGUCUGGCCGGGGUUAGCCACAAUGGGAAAGGAGUACACUGUAGAGCCAGCGACUCAAUGCAGUGUGUCGGACAGCAGAAAAUAACCUGAUACCCUACAGGGUCUAACGGCUUCGGGCCGAGGUACAUUAAAACCUUAGGACAUUAUGUUAAGUUGGGUUAGGUUAUCUACAUCCAAAAUAAUAUUAAAUAGUAAGAAAGGUACCUUAAGUUAAGUGAGUUACGUUUUCAAUUGGUAUUUCUAACCAAUUGUUCAAUGAUCUGUACUGUAUCUUUAUUAAUGGAGCUAACUUAUCCUAAUAAACCACCCACACAAUUUUAGAGCAUUUUAAAAGUAGCUAACCCAAUUCAACCGGCUCUUCUCACUAUUUUAUUUUUUAAUGUACUUAACCUAAAUCCUUGUUAAAAUGGCAAACUACUAGUAAACUAUUUGAAUUGUAAAAAAGCUCUUCUUCAGAAUUAAGUAAGAAUUUGUUUUGUAUUAGAAUGCUAAAGCAUAAAAAAAAAAAUGCUUUUCCUGUGAACAAUCAUUAAUUAAUAUGUUAACUAUCAACUUCAUGUUCAAAGUAUAAUCAGGCCUACCCAUUCAUCAAUCAUCCUUCCCCAGGAAAGGAAAGCCAGGCAUUACUGAUGGAACUAUUACACAUAAAUCACUUUAUUGUAGGUAAACAAUACCCCUUACACGGGGAAAUUUGAAGGCAUGUAUCCAAAAUGUUUAAUUCAUGUUGGUUCUGCUAAAGCAAAAUAGAUGCUACCAGCUGAGGAAUGAGUGCAGCGCCAUUCGCACCAGGCCCAUCCAGCCCUGCAGACUUGGGAGAGAUCUGCAAUGCAGUUUACAACAGUAGCAGGCAGCUGGUCGGUGCAGACUUGAACUCUUUUGCGCCUCUUACAAACUGGAUAAAAAAGUUAUAUAUUUUAAAAAAGAUAGUGUUCAAAUUAUUUACAAAGAUUAUAAAUAAUUAUAGAUAUAGAUUAUAGAUAAUAAAAAAUAGCACCCAAAA